GAUGAACGCUGGCGGCGUGCCUAUACAUGCAAGUCGAGCGAACAGAUGAGGAGCUUGCUCCUCUGACGUUAGCGGCGGACGGGUGAGUAACACGUGGAUAACCUACCUAUAAGACUGGGAUAACUUCGGGAAACCGGAGCUAAUACCGGAUAAUAUAUUGAACCGCAUGGUUCAAUAGUGAAAGACGGUUUUGCUGUCACUUAUAGAUGGAUCCGCGCCGCAUUAGCUAGUUGGUAAGGUAACGGCUUACCAAGGCAACGAUGCGUAGCCGACCUGAGAGGGUGAUCGGCCACACUGGAACUGAGACACGGUCCAGACUCCUACGGGAGGCAGCAGUAGGGAAUCUUCCGCAAUGGGCGAAAGCCUGACGGAGCAACGCCGCGUGAGUGAUGAAGGUCUUCGGAUCGUAAAACUCUGUUAUUAGGGAAGAACAAAUGUGUAAGUAACUAUGCACGUCUUGACGGUACCUAAUCAGAAAGCCACGGCUAACUACGUG
rnacentral:rRNA from 1 species